UUUAGCUACCACUUACAGAUGGACCCGCGGCGCAUUAGCUAGUUGGUGAGGUAACGGCUCACCAAGGCAACGAUGCGUAGCCGACCUGAGAGGGUGAUCGGCCACACUGGGACUGAGACACGGCCCAGACUCCUACGGGAGGCAGCAGUAGGGAAUCUUCCGCAAUGGACGAAAGUCUGACGGAGCAACGCCGCGUGAGUGAUGAAGGUUUUCGGAUCGUAAAACUCUGUUGUUAGGGAAGAACAAGUACCGUUCGAAUAGGGCGGUACCUUGACGGUACCUAACCAGAAAGCCACGGCUAACUACGUGCCAGCAGCCGCGGUAAUACGUAGGUGGCAAGCGUUGUCCGGAAUUAUUGGGCGUAAAGCGCGCGCAGGCGGUUUCUUAAGUCUGAUGUGAAAGCCCCCGGCUCAACCGGGGAGGGUCAUUGGAAACUGGGGAACUUGAGUGCAGAAGAGGAGAGUGGAAUUCCACGUGUAGCGGUGAAAUGCGUAGAGAUGUGGAGGAACACCAGUGGCGAAGGCGACUCUCUGGUCUGUAACUGACGCUGAGGCGCGAAAGCGUGGGGAGCGAACAGGAUUAGAUACCCUGGUAGUCCACGCCGUAAACGAUGAGUGCUAAGUGUUAGAGGGUUUCCGCCCUUUAGUGCUGCAGCAAACGCAUUAAGCACUCCGCCUGGAGACGCCCGUU
rnacentral:rRNA from 1 species